GCCUUCGUGGUGUAACGGUAACACAUCAGCGCAUAUUCAUAUGUAUUUGAUUAUAGGUCUAGGUUCGAGUCCUGGCAAGGUCA
rnacentral:tRNA from 1 species